CUCCGGGUGAUCGGCCCAGGCUCUGCGCAGACUCAGGCCGCGUGGCUGACUCCCCGAGCAGCCGCCCCUCUCCGGAUCAUCGGCCUAGGCUUUACGCAGACUCAGGCCACGUGGCUGACACCCCGAGCAGCUGCCCCCUGUCCGGGCAGUUGGCCCAGGCUCUGCGCAGACUCAGGCAGCGUGGCUGACGCCCCGAGCAGCUGCCCCCUCUCCGAGCGAUCGGCCCAGGCUCUGCGCAGACUCAGGCCGCGUGGCUGACGCCCCGAGCAGCUGCCCCCUAUCCGAUGAUCGGCCCAGGCUCCGCGCAGACUCAGGCUGCGUGGCUGAUGCCCCAAGCAGCUGCCCCCUGUCCGGGCGAUCGGCCCAGGCUCUGCGCAGACUCAGGCCGCGUGGCUGAUGCCCCAAGCAGCUGCCCCCUGUCCGGGCGAUCGGCCCAGUCACUGCGCAGACUCAGGCAUCAUGGGGCACAUUUGGGGCAGCUGCCCCUUCUCCGCAUGAUCAGCCCAGGCUCUGCACAGACUCAGGCAGCGUGGCUCACACCCGGGGCAGCUGCCCUCUCUUCGGGCGGGCGGCUCAGGUUCUGUGGAGACUCAGGCAGCGAGGCUUACAACCGGGGCAGCUUCCCUCUCUCCAGGCGAUUGGACCUAUCUCUGCACAGACUGAGGCAGCAUGGAGGACACCCAGGGCAGCUGCCCCCUCUCCCAGCCAUGGGCCCAGGCUCUGAGCAGAAUUUGGCAGUGUGGCUGACACCCAGGGGAACAAGGCACUCACUCUUCAGGGACAGCCCUGCACCCACCCUGUAAACUGAGAACCUUGAGUCUGGAGCAACCCAGGGGAGCUGGUCUGGGAAACUCCUUCCUCCUGAACAGUUGCCAGGGCACAGAGGAAGCAGAAGGUCUGGUACGACCACUCCGCACGUGCCCGCUCCUAUGCUACCGGGGACCAGAUGAUGCUUCUCAUACACGUGAGGAAGAACAAGCUGCAUGCAACCUGCCUGGGAUGGCCCCUUCAAGAUCAUCAGACAGGACUAAAUGUCUUGUAAAAUAUAGAAGAUACAUUGGGACAGAAGUUCAAAUUAGUCCAACCUGGGAAAAUCAACUGGCUUUCUCAUGAGCGAUCCUUGGCUGUUUUAAAAUUACUACAACCAUUAUUGGGGGCUUUGGAAAGUAUCUACCGAGAUGGGACGGAUCUAAGUAGUAAGGCUGGUGGACUACUUUUGCUACUAAAUUCAGAGAACACAAUCGCCACUCUCUCUUGUAAGUCUACUGUUGAAACCACUUAGGUCAUUAAACAAUGGCAUCCAGGCAUCUGCUACAAUAGUAAUAGAUCUCUGUCCAGCACUGGAAGCUACACUUGGAUCAGAAUGAUAUCCAUUGAAAAUGUACUGGAAGAAGCAAAAAGACUUCAGUUCAGAAGUUGACUAAUUAAGGCACUUAUAUUAACUGCUUAAAUGAAGAAGACAAGAAGUGUUUGUUAAGCCAGCUGAAAAAGUAAAGUACACGGACUUGAUUCUUACAUCUCUACACAACUACUUUUGAAUUCCAUCAACCUAGCUUUUACAGAUGCCUGUCUUAUAAAACACCGACAGUUAUGUGGAAUGAGGCACUACCAGCAAUGGGGCUGCCAUAUGACCACUACAGAAUAGAGAAUUUGAACACAGAGUGGAAUAUCGUCUGAUGAACGAAUGUAGAUUUGAUUCCAACUUCUUCUUUAUCAUCACUAAUAGUUCGACCCAAUUUUUGUGCGGGUUCCUGGGGUUAAAGAAGUAGGAAUUCAUCUCUUUCUACUCCCAGUCACAACAGCUACAGUUGAGUGUUCCUUUUCCCCAUUGAAUAGAAUUUUGUGUUCUGAAAGAAGUCGCCUUCUGCC